UUCUCCUAAUCUCUCCCUGUUCUUGCUGCUACAUAUGUCAUUUGUCAAGAGGUACAUCAUAUAGAGCAAUAGCAUGAUUAGUUGCACACCGAUGAAACUUCUCAAUCACUCUGAUUUCUGUCUAGGUCCUGUCCAUGAAUUUCCUUUAAUUGCAGGGUUUGUGCAUUCCUUUAUCCAAGACUUGCAGACUGCUUAGCAAGAUCCAAAGAAGAGCUUGAUGCAUCCUCAUCAUUUGAUCGGAAAGACCAAAACGAGAAGCAGAGAGAUUAAAUCAUUUUAUGUUUCAUACUGUACUAUCUGUGGACGGUACUCACUGUUUGGGAAGCUAUAAAGGAUGUAGUGAUGUGCCUUUGUAAAUAGAACCAGGUGCACCAAGAAACAAGUGAACAUGUACUGGAGAACAUAGCUUUGAUACUGAAAAAUUAAGGUAAUGACUUCCUGUCUAUAUAUGUUUAUAUAAUUUUCUCUGAUUGAUCAGAGUAGUAGUUAUGUUAGUGGGGCACACACUGUAUUAGCCAUAUUUUC